rnacentral:rRNA from 1 species
GUGUCAGCCGCCGCGGUAAUACAGAGGGUGCAAGCGUUAAUCGGAGUUACUGGGCGUAAAGGGCACGUAGGCGGUUAUGUAAGUCAGUUGUGAAAUCCCCGGGCUUAACCUGGGAACUGCAAUUGAUACUGUGUGACUAGAGUCGAAGAGAGGGAAGCGGAAUUUCCGGUGUAGCGGUGAAAUGCGUAGAUAUCGGAAGGAACAUCUGUGGCGAAGGCGGCUUCCUGGCUUCAGACUGACGCUGAGGUGCGAAAGCGUGGGUAGCGAACAGGAUUAGAUACCCCUGUAGUCC